rnacentral:rRNA from 1 species
UACGGAGGGUGCAAGCGUUAUCCGGAAUCAUUGGGUUUAAAGGGUCCGCAGGCGGAUCUGUAAGUCAGUGGUGAAAGCCCAUAGCUCAACUAUGGAACUGCCAUUGAUACUGCAGGUCUUGAAUUCGGUCGAAGUGGGCGGAAUAUGACAUGUAGCGGUGAAAUGCUUAGAUAUGUCAUAGAACACCGAUAGCGAAGGCAGCUCACUAGGCCUGGAUUGACGCUCAGGGACGAAAGCGUGGGGAGCAAAC